GUCUACGACCAUACCACCCUGAACACGCCCGAUCUCUUCUGAUCUCGGAAGCUAAGCAGGGUCGGGCCUGGUUAGUACUUGGAUGGGAGACACUUCUACCUAUCUCUCAUAGAUU
rnacentral:rRNA from 1 species